rnacentral:rRNA from 1 species
GUAGUCACGUAGUUUGAUCAUGGACUCGAGAACGAACGCUGGCGGCAUGCCUAACACAUGCAAGACGAACGAGACCUUCGGGUCUAGUGGCGCACGGGUGCGUAACGCGUGGGAAUCUGCCCUUUGCUUCGGAAUAACAGUUAGAAAUGACUGCUAAUACCGGAUGAUGUCUUCGGACCAAAGAUUUAUCGGCAAAGGAUGAGCCCGCGUAGGAUUAGGUAGUUGGUGGGGUAAAGGCCUACCAAGCCGACGAUCCUUAGCUGGUCUGAGAGGAUGAUCAGCCACACUGGGACUGAGACACGGCCCAGACUCCUACGGGAGGCAGCAGUGGGGAAUAUUGGACAAUGGGCGAAAGCCUGAUCCAGCAAUGCCGCGUGAGUGAUGAAGGCCUUCGGGUCGUAAAGCUCUUUUACCAGGGAUGAUAAUGACAGUACCUGGAGAAUAAGCUCCGGCUAACUCCGUG